rnacentral:lncRNA from 1 species
UCAGCUCUGACUAAUAAUUGGUCAGGGAAAUUAUGCAGGGAAGUUUCUACAUGGAACUGACACAUCAUGUAGAUGACUAAGUUUAUAAAAUAAUACUCUUCCUUUUCACCCAACGAUGUGGCACUAUAGACGAAGUCAUUUGGACGACCCAGAAGGGGAGAUAUUAGAAACACCAGGGCAUCUUCAUUUAGAGUAGGACUGUUAGCUGUGGCAUUCUGGCUAAGUCAUGUCUAAUGUGCUAAGGUCUCUUGAGGUUUAAAACACAUUAUCAGUGUCUGAUAUCUCAUCUUCUUUUUCUCUCCUAUCUAGGUCAAACAGUUCUUGUUAUAAGCUGUUUAUGUUUUUCCAACAAAAUUCAAUGCUCAUAAACAUUUAGAUAGAGUUUAUUUCUUGCCACCUAAAGGAAUGAUCUACAAGACCAUAAAGGAAUGAUCUCCCAGGCCAGAAACUCAUUUCUUUCUGCCCAAAGGAGAUGCCAAUAUCUUUCUGGGUCAAGCAGAACAGCUCUUUCACCUCCCAGAGUUCACAGCUAAGGACACGCAUGGCAAUCUUCCUCAACACUGAGCAGUACUGCUAAAACCGUAUUAUUCACACUGAAGCACUGGGGCCUUACAGAGCAGCUGCUCUGUAAAUUCACCAGAGCAAGG